rnacentral:rRNA from 1 species
AACGAACGCUGGCGGCAGGCUUAACACAUGCAAGUCGAACGCAUCCUUCGGGGUGAGUGGCAGACGGGUGAGUAACGCGUGGGAACGUGCCCUUCAGUUCGGGAUAACCCAGGGAAACUUGGGCUAAUACCGGAUACGUGCGAGAGCAGAAAGAUUUAUCGCUUAAGGAUCGGCCCGCGUCUGAUUAGCUAGUUGGUGGGGUAAUGGCCCACCAAGGCGACGAUCAGUAGCUGGUCUGAGAGGAUGAUCAGCCACAUUGGGACUGAGACACGGCCCAAACUCCUACGGGAGGCAGCAGUGGGGAAUAUUGGACAAUGGGCGCAAGCCUGAUCCAGCCAUGCCGCGUGAGUGAUGAAGGCCUUAGGGUUGUAAAGCUCUUUCGUCCGGGACGUUAAUGACGGUACCGGAAGAAGAAGCCCCGGCUAACUUCGUGCCAGCCGCCGCGGUAA